rnacentral:rRNA from 1 species
CAGUAGCCGCGGGAACACGGAGGGUGCAAGCGUUAAUCGGAGUUACUGGGCGUAAAGCGUGCGUAGGCGGUUCGUUAAGUCUGUUGUGAAAGCCCCGGGCUCAACCUGGGAAUGGCAAUGGAUACUGGCGAGCUAGAGUGUGUCAGAGGAUGGUGGAAUUCCCGGUGUAGCGGUGAAAUGCGUAGAGAUCGGGAGGAACAUCAGUGGCGAAGGCGGCCAUCUGGGACAACACCGACGCUGAGGCACGAAAGCGUGGGGAGCAAACAGGAUUAGAUACCCCCGUAGUCCCUGUCUCUUAUAA